GCCUUCGUGGUGUAAUGGUAGCACACUCGGCGUGGAUUCGAGAGGUCCAGGUUCGAAUCCCGGUGAGGGCA
rnacentral:tRNA from 1 species